UGAGCUCUUUCACAAGAUUUCUGUCAAAGUUCUAUGGCAAAAUAACAACCUUCUGAUGAACGAGGACCUCUCUGGCAAAGCUCUGGUGCUCAUCUUUGACAUCUCCUACAAUGUGAAGCCCCAAUAGUCUUUUGCAUAUAAAGGAUAUUCAAUGGAUAUUGGAGAUAAAUGGAUCUCCGAAGAUCCACCAAUGAAUAUGUUCAUGGAGUUAAUGAUUUUUCUUGAUAAGGCAUUUGAACAAGCUUCUCAAGAAAAAUGAAAUAUUAUGCCCUUGUAAGAAGUGCUUUAAUCGUAAUUGACAUUGUCGAAAUGUGGUGGAGGAUCACUUGAUUUGUCAUGGAUUUGUUCCUGGAUAUAUCAAAUGGGUUUUUCAUGGAGAAGGGUUUUCCUCAAGAAACACGCCACAUCCAACCAAUGAUGAUGAAGCUUCGAACAUGCAUGACGAUAUUGAUAAACUACUUCAUGAUACUUUUCAAAAUUUAGAAGAUGAGCUAAGGCAUAAAGAAGUUAGAGAGGGACCAUCUGAAGAUGUGAUUUUUUUAAAAAAAAAUUAGUGGAGGACGGAAAACAAGAGUUGUAUCUGGGGUAUAAAAAUUUUUCUAAGUUGAAUUUUACCAUCCGGUUAUACUUGUUUAAA